ensembl:snRNA U2 U2 spliceosomal RNA
ACUGCUUCUCGGCCUUUUGGCUAAGAUCAAGCGUAGUAUCUGUGAUAAGAGAACUCAUCAGUAUAAGUUACAAAGAUGUCCAUAUAUAGUCUAU